rnacentral:rRNA from 1 species
GACGAACCGUGCGAACGUUGUUCGGAAUCACUGGGCUUAAAGGGCGCGUAGGCGGUCUGUCAAGUCAGGGGUGAAAGCCUCCAGCUUAACUGGAGAAGUGCCUUUGAUACUGGCGGACUCGAGUGAGGUAGGGGUAGUGGGAACUUCCGGUGGAGCGGUGAAAUGCGUUGAUAUCGGAAGGAACGCCGGUGGCGAAAGCGCACUACUGGACCACCUCUGACGCUGAGGCGCGAAAGCCAGGGGAGCAAACGGG